AUUGAACGCUGGCGGCAUGCCUUACACAUGCAAGUCGAACGGCAGCACGGGAGCAAUCCUGGUGGCGAGUGGCGAACGGGUGAGUAAUAUAUCGGAACGUGCCCAGUAGUGGGGGAUAACUGCUCGAAAGAGCAGCUAAUACCGCAUACGACCUGAGGGUGAAAGGGGGGGAUCGCAAGACCUCUCGCUAUUGGAGCGGCCGAUAUCAGAUUAGCUAGUUGGUGGGGUAAAGGCCUACCAAGGCAACGAUCUGUAGUUGGUCUGAGAGGACGACCAGCCACACUGGGACUGAGACACGGCCCAGACUCCUACGGGAGGCAGCAGUGGGGAAUUUUGGACAAUGGGCGAAAGCCUGAUCCAGCAAUGCCGCGUGCAGGAUGAAGGCCUUCGGGUUGUAAACUGCUUUUGUACGGAACGAAAAAGCUUCUCCUAAUACGAGAGGCCCAUGACGGUACCGUAAGAAUAAGCACCGGCUAACUACGUGCCAGCAGCCGCUGUAAUAC
rnacentral:rRNA from 1 species